rnacentral:tRNA from 1 species
GAGGGUAUAGCUCAGUGGUAGAGCAUGUGCCUAGUAUGCACGAGGUCCUGGCUUCAAUCCCCAGUACCGCCA